GACGAACGCUGGCGGCGUGCCUAAUACAUGCAAGUAGAACGCUGAAGGAGGAGCUUGCUCUUCUGGAUGAGUUGCGAACGGGUGAGUAACGCGUAGGUAACCUGCCUGGUAGCGGGGGAUAACUAUUGGAAACGAUAGCUAAUACCGCAUAAUAGUAGAUGUUGCAUGAUAUUUACUUAAAAGGUGCAAUUGCACCACUACCAGAUGGACCUGCGUUGUAUUAGCUAGUUGGUGGGGUAACGGCUCACCAAGGCGACGAUACAUAGCCGACCUGAGAGGGUGAUCGGCCACACUGGGACUGAGACACGGCCCAGACUCCUACGGGAGGCAGCAGUAGGGAAUCUUCGGCAAUAGACGAAAGUCUGACCGAGCAACGCCGCGUGAGUGAAGAAGGUUUUCGGAUCGUAAAGCUCUGUUGUAAGAGAAGAACGAGUGUGAGAGUGGAAAGUUCACACUGUGACGGUAUCUUACCAGAAAGGGACGGCUAACUACGUG
rnacentral:rRNA from 1 species